AUUGAACGCUGGCGGCAGGCCUAACACAUGCAAGUCGAACGAGUGGCGGACGGGUGAGUAAUGUCUGGGAAACUGCUCGAUGGAGGGGGAUAACUACUGGAAACGGUAGCUAAUAGCGCAUACCAUCGGAUGUGCCCAGAUGGGAUUAGCUAGCUGGUGGGGUAACGGCUCACCUAGGCGACGAUCCCUCGCUGGUCUGAGAGGAUGACCAGCCAAACUGGAACGGGGGCACGGUCCAGACUCCUACGGGAGGCAGCAGUGGGGAAUAUUGCACAAUGGGCGCAAGCCUGAUGCAGCCAUGCCGCGUGGAUGAAGAAGGCCUUCGGGUUGUAAAGUACUUUCAGCGGGGAGGCGUUACUCGCAGAAGAAGCACCGGCUAACUCCGUGCCAGCCGCCGCGGUAAUUC
rnacentral:rRNA from 1 species